AGAGUUAAAUAGUACGUGAAAUUGUUGAAAGGGAAACGAUUAAAGUCAGUCGUACUUACGGGUGAUCAACCUUUUAGGUGCGAUCUUGUGGGUAUCUGAGAGUGGUAACACCUUGAUGUUCUCAAGUUCGUGCUUUGGGGCGUACUUGCUCGUUUGUAGGUUAACAUCAGUUUCAGUCAUUACAAAAUGACUAGAGGAAUGUAGCUUCGAUUUCGGUUGAAGUGUUAUAGCCUCUGGUAGAUGUAAUGACUGAGACUGAGGAUUGCAACGAAUACCUUUUAGGCUAUCUGUCUGGCUUCUGGUUAUCGCUUUGGUGCCGAAAGCUUGCUUAAGGUUAUUGAAGUUGGUGGCCAAUAGGUUAGAACGGAUUAAAUUCGUUAAGGAUGUUGACGUAAUGGCUUUAAACGACC
rnacentral:rRNA from 1 species